UGUGUGUGUAUCAAGAUGGAAAUAUCAGGAAUAAUAACUCUAGUGCUCAUUUCUUCACUGAAGACAUUAAACAUGGAAACGUCUCACUCUUGUUGAACAAUCUGUCAUCUACUGAUGCAGGAGAAUACACAUGUAAAGCUUACAGUGAAGAGAGAUGUGUGUUCUUAGUCAGUGUGAAUUUGAAAAUAACUUUCCCUGAUUCAGAGUUGACUGUGGAUUAUUCUUGUAAUCUGGUUGUUCCUCUGGGAGGUUCUGUGGUCCUGCCCUGUUUUAAUGUCAAAACUAGAAGAAUACCAGAAGAAGGACUGAAGGUGGAAUGGAGUAAAUCAAAGAGAUCAGUGUGUGUGUAUGAAGAUGGAGAUAUCAGGAAUCGUCAGGAUUAUCAUGAUAGAGCCCAUUUCUUCACUGAAGAAAUUAAACAUGGAAACUUCUCCCUCCUGUUGAACAAUCUGACAGCUGAAGAUAAUGUACAAUACACAUGUAAAGUUCACAUUUUAAACAGAGAAGAGUUUUCAGUCAGCACACAGUUGGCACCAGCACUUCUAGUUUCAGGUUUCCGUCUUCAGCUGUUUAUGGUCUUCUGUCCAAAUCUCAUCAUGUUCCUUGCUUUUAUCUUCUGGGGUG